AUCGCUUCUCGGUCUUUUGGCUAAGAUGGAGUGUAGUAUCCGUUCUUAUCAGUAAAACUGUUGUUGCCCCCAAUACAGGGUACUUCCUUUAUUAUAGAUUCUGAUGAGAAUAUGACUAAGUUUAGAAAUAGAAUUACAGGGACAAGAAGUAAUGUGUCCUGUAAACAUUGGAGAAGGCUUCAAAUUCACAUGUUCCAGUGCCACUGGA
ensembl:snRNA U2 U2 spliceosomal RNA